GGAUAGAGGCGCGGUAUCCAUCAGUACCGUCCCGCAAGGCCAGGCAGCCGCGGGAUAAGAAAGGGGCCACCGCCGAAGCCGCUGAAAAAUGCCUGUUUUUCUGCUGCUGGGGCGACAGAUAAUAUCUGUCGGACUGUCACAUGUUAACCUUGUGAAGCGCUAUCA
rnacentral:ncRNA from 1 species